rnacentral:rRNA from 1 species
UCCCAGACUCCUACGGGAGGCAGCAGUGAGGAAUAUUGGUCAAUGGGCUUACGCCUGAACCAGCCAAGUCGCGUGAGGGAAGACUGCCCUAUGGGUUGUAAACCUCUUUUGUCAGGGAGCAACGCCGGCUACGUGUAGCCGGACUGAGAGUACCUGAAGAAAAAGCAUCGGCUAACUCCGUGCCAGCAGCCGCGGUAAUACGGAGGAUGCGAGCGUUAUCCGGAUUUAUUGGGUUUAAAGGGUGCGUAGGCGGAAUGCCAAGUCAGCGGUAAAAUGGCGGGGCUCAACCUCGUCGAGCCGUUGAAACUGGGUGCCUUGAGUGGGCGAGAAGUACGCGGAAUGCGUGGUGUAGCGGUGAAAUGCAUAGAUAUCGCGCAGAACUCCGAUUGCGAAGGCAGCAUGCCGGCUCCACACUGACGCUGAGGCACGAAAGCGUGGGUAUCGAACAGGAUUAGAUACCCCGGUA